UAUUGCACAAUGGGGGAAACCCUGAUGCAGCGACGCCGCGUGAGUGUAGAAGGAUUUCGGUAUGUAAAGCCCUAUCAGCAGGGAAGAAAUAGCGACCUUUGGGUCGCCAGACGGUACCCGAUUAAGAAGCCACGACUAACUACGUGCCAGCAGCGGCGGUAAUACGUAGGGGGCAAGCGUUAUCCGGAUUUACUGGGUGUAAAGGGAGCGUAGACGGCAGCACAAGUCUGAAGUGAAAUGCCGGGGCUUAACCCCGGAACUGCUUUGGAAACUGUGCAGCUAGAGUGCAGGAGAGGUAAGUGGAAUUCCUAGUGUAGCGGUGAAAUGCGUAGAUAUUAGGAGGAACACCAGUGGCGAAGGCGGCUUACUGGACUGUAACUGACGUUGAGGCUCGAAAGCGUGGGGAGCAAACAGGA
rnacentral:rRNA from 1 species